rnacentral:rRNA from 1 species
CCUACGGGUGGCAGCAGUCGAGAAUCAUUCACAAUGGGGGAAACCCUGAUGGUGCGACGCCGCGUGGGGGAAUGAAGGUCUUCGGAUUGUAAACCCCUGUCAUGUGGGAGCAAAUUAAAAAGAUAGUACCACAAGAGGAAGAGACGGCUAACUCUGUGCCAGCAGCCGCGGUAAUACAGAGGUCUCAAGCGUUGUUCGGAAUCACUGGGCGUAAAGCGUGCGUAGGCUGUUUCGUAAGUCGUGUGUGAAGGGUGCGGGCUCAACCCGCGGACGGCACAUGAUACUGCGAGACUAGAGUAAUGGAGGGGGAACCGGAAUGCUCGGUGUAGCAGUGAAAUGCGUAGAUAUCGAGAGGAACACUCGUGGCGAAGGCGGGUUCCUGGACAUUAACUGACGCUGAGGCACGAAGGCCAGGGGAGCGAAAGGGAUUAGAUACCCCUGUAGUC